CAAGCAGAAAGGACGCCUUCACAACUUGCUGCUCAAAACCCACAGGCCCACCAGGCUCUCUGCCAUUUGCUCUACAGUUUUUUUUUUUUUUUUUUUUUUAGAAUUUAAGUACCAGGUGCCCACCUGCACUGUUACCAUGGAUACAACUGGACCAGACGGAAUAGGACUGAUGAGAUGUAGGUCAAGAGAAUAUAUGUUUGUCAUCCAAAGAUUCCAUGGAACUGCGUGGACCAUCUGUCCCCCAAUUUGCUAAUUCAGAAACACCUGAGGACCCUUACACCAGACUUUGAUUUGGUACAUGUACGGGGAAGCAGGACAGAACACAUCGGAGACUUCCUGCAAAAUCACUGCUCCUACUGAUGGCCCAUGCGGUCACCUUGUACCGUCCUCCAAGCCAUCAGCUGCAAAUACCAAAGAAGGCCGGGACAGGCA